ACCAGACAAACUAAGACCACAUUCACUUUCUGAAACUGCCAUGAAUUAUCAGUUAUUUGCUUAGCCCAAACUACAACAGAAAAUUAAGGACUUCUGAAUGUCUCUUGAUCUUGGAUCAGCUCUUCCUUCCAACUCUUUUGGUCUCCGAGUUAUAUUAAGAAAUGUAAAUCUGUAUCAAUG